GAUGAACGCUGGCGGCGUGCCUAAUACAUGCAAGUCGAGCGGACGGACGAGAAGCUUGCUUCUCUGAUGUUAGCGGCGGACGGGUGUGAAACACGUGGAUAACCUACCUGUCAUACUGGGAUCACUUCGGGAAACCGGAGCUAAUACCGGAUAAUAUUUUGAACCGCAUGGUUCACAAGUGAGAGACGGUCUUGCUGUCACUUAUAGAUGGAUCCGCGCUGCAUUAGCUAGUUGGUAAGGUAACGGCUUUUCAAGGCAACGAUGCAUAGCCGACCUGAGAGGGGGGUCGGCCACCCUGGAACUGAGACACGGACCAGACUCCUACGAGAGGCAGCAGAAGGGAAUCGGCCGCAAUGGGCGAAAGCCUGACGGAGCAACGCCACGUGAGUGAUAAAAGUCUUCGGAGCGUAAAACUCUGUUAUUAGGGAAAAACAGAUGUGUAAGUAACUGAGCACAUCUUGACGGUACCGAAUCAAAAAGCCACGGCUAACUACGUG
rnacentral:rRNA from 1 species